rnacentral:rRNA from 1 species
CAAGCUGGAACGGCUGCUAAGACCCCAUAUGCCGAGAGGUGAAAAAGAUUUCUGCCUAAGGAAGAGCUCGCGGCUGAUUAGCUAGUUGGUAGGAUAAAAGACUACCAAGGCAACGAUCAGUAGCUGGUUUGAGAGGACGAUCAGCCACACUGGGACUGAGACACGGCCCAGACUCCUACGGGAGGCAGCAGUGGGGAAUCUUCUGCAAUGGGCGAAAGCCUGACAGAGCAAUACCGCGUGAGGGAUAAAAGCCUGAGGGUCGUAAACCUCUUUUUUCAGGGAAGAAAUUUGACGGUACCUGAAGAAUAAGCAUCGGCUAACUCCGUGCCAGCAGCCGCGGUAAUACGGAGGAUGCAAGCGUUAUCCGGAAUCACUGGGCGUAAAGCGUCUGUAGGUGGCUUUUCAAGUCUGCUGUUAAGACUGAGGCUUACCUCAGAAAACAGUGGAAACUGACAAGCUAGAUAUGGUAGGGGUAAAGGGAAUUCCCAGUGUAGCGGUGAAUGCGUAUUAUCGGGAAGAACACCUGUGGCGAAGCGCUUUACUGGACUAUUGCUGACACUGAGAGACGAAGCUAGGGUAGCAAAUGGGAUAGAUACCCCAAAGUC